ACCUGCCUGGCUCGGUAGGUAGAGCAUGUGACUCUUGAUCUCCAGGUCGUGAGUUCAAGUCCCACGUUGGGCG
rnacentral:tRNA from 1 species